rnacentral:misc_RNA from 1 species
GAUGAAGAACGUAGCGAAAUGCGAUACUUGGUGUGAAUUGCAGAAUCCCGUGAACCAUCGAGUCUUUGAACGCAAGUUGCGCCCGAAGCCAUUAGGCCGAGGGCACGCCUGCCUGGGUGUCACACACCGUUACCCUCGCGCCAACGUCCAUCGUUGGCCGCGGCGCGGGGCGUGCGCUGACCUCCCGCGAGCGGGGUCUCGUGGUUGGUUGAAAAUCGAGUUCGCGGUCGAGGGUGCCGUGAUGAAAUGGUGGAUGGGCGGCGCCCGAGGCCAAUCACGCGCGACUCUGUCCGGCUCGGACUACUGGACCCCUUCGGCGUCUCCGGACGCUCUUUGGCGAGACCUCAGGUCAGGCGGGGCUACCCGCUGAGUUUAAGCAUAUCAAUAAGCGGAGGA